UACUGCCUUUGUCUGGCGGGAGGGCGGCCGCCGCGGGGCGCGGGCCUAAUCCCCAGGAUGGGGCCUCGGGGGCGGGAGGCAUUCCCGGGCGGCCGCCCACCCUCCCACCGACCCGGGAGUCUUCCAGCCUUCGGGGGCCUCGCCGUCUAGCUUUGGGGUCGCGGGGCCCGCGUCCCCUCCCAGCCCCGUGUGCCCUUGAGGGGCCCGCGGGGGUCCGAUCCCACCUGCUGCGGGUGGGCGCACCUGCGCUCCGGCGGCCGGGAGCGGUCCGGCCGGCUCAGGCCGCGGCCUCCAGCGCGCUGCUCCCCCGCAUCGCGCUCCGUGCCGCGCCUCGGCCGGAGGUGGCGCUCUGUGCGCCCGGCGGAUCCCGGCGUGGGAGGCUCCGGCUCCGGCUCCGGGGGUUUCUCGCCAGCCGCGCCUAGCUCUCCUUUCCCUUCCGCCCCCUCGAGUUCCUGGCUCAGGCCGCAGCCCAGCCUUCCACGAGGGAGUGGGGAUCAGAUACGCCGCAGCCCCCUCCUCCGACCUGGGCGCUCUCCCAUCUCGGGAUGCUGGUGGAAGUGCCUCAUUCAGACGCCCCAGGCAUCGGAUUCUGGGCGGGGGCGCGUGGCCGCCGCCAGGUGAGUGCCCCGGACGCGCCCCUGCGGCCGCCCCACCUCUCACCAGACACUCACUCCCCCUCCUUUUAUGGAGACGGGGAGGCAGGGGCCCUGGAUCCUCACGGUGGAAAGAGGCCCGAGCGCCGCGCCGGGGCGGGGGGCCGGAGGCGGGGGCCGGUUCGCGUUUGCCCUUUUUGGCGCAGCAGCUCUGGGCGCUGCCCGCUGCCGCCGCUGGGGCCCGAGGGAGGCGAGCCGGCGACGGCAGCGCUUCUGCGGCGGCCUCCUCCCCUCCCCGUCCGAUGCCGCAGGAUUGCAGCUGGCACUGGAGGGAGCCCGGCUGGAGCGCCCGCCCCGCGGCCUCGCCUCCCCGCCGAGCCGCCAGCGCCUCGGGACGCGAUGAGGACCUGGGCUUGCCUGCUACUCCUCGGCUGCGGAUACCUCGCCCAUGCCCUGGCCGAGGUGGGUGCCACCCCCGCGCCCCGUCCCCUCUCCGACUCCCCCGGCGCACGCCCCCUGCGGCCGCCGGCGGGCCGGGGCCCCUGGGGCUCCGGGGCUCUGGCGAGCGCAUUUUGGUUUCUGCUGGGGCGGUCGGGUUCUUGCUCUUCCCCACUGGCUGUUCUUUUCUGCCAUGCCGAAGUGUGUCUGGUGAGUUUCCAGCGUGUUGCGUCGCUGUGCCGUGGAGGCACGGAGUGGCGCGGGGUGGACGAGUGGGGAGAAAGUUCGGGGGGCGCGGGCU
rnacentral:lncRNA from 1 species